CACACUGUAAACGAUGAAUGCUAGGUGCAGGGGGUAUCGACCCCUUCUGUGCCGCAGUAAACACAUUAAGCAUUCCGCCUGGGGAGUACGGUCGCAAGAUUAAAACUCAAAGGAAUUGACGGGGGCCCGCACAAGCAGCGGAGCAUGUGGUUUAAUUCGAAGCAACGCGAAGAACCUUACCAGGUCUUGACAUCCAGGUAAAGCUGUAGAGAUAUAGUGUGCCUUCGGGCAAUCUGAGACAGGUGG
rnacentral:rRNA from 1 species